rnacentral:rRNA from 1 species
AUGCCGCCGAUGGCGACCACGACGGCGACGGCGACGGCGACUGACUCCGCGGCGCGCCGCUUCGCCUCGGCCUGCGGCGUGCUCAGCCAGUACGUCAAGGCGUCCGGCGUCCAGGAACCCGGCUAUCAGGCGGACGGGGCGCAGCAGCUGACGAUCUUCUACGGGGGGAGGGUGGUGGUGCUCGACCGCUGCACGCCGGCCAGGGCCGCCGAGCUGAUCCGGUUCGCCGCGGCGGCGGCGGCGGCCUCGCAGGGAGCGCCUGUCGUACAGCCGCCUGCCCCGGCGUUCGUCGACAUGCCGAUCGCGAGGAAGGCGUCGAUGCAGCGGUUCCUGUCGAAGCGCAAGGACAGAUCCGCCCCGGCCCCGGCCCCAGCCCCCGAGGGUCCGCCGUACGCGCAUCAUGAGGAAGUGGCGCCGCCCAAGAAGAAGGGCAAGACGGAAGCUUCUUCCUGGCUCGCCCUGGGUAGCUUAGGGGACAUGCACGCGCCGUGA